rnacentral:lncRNA from 1 species
UUAUGAUCUUAGCUAUAUUAAUAUUCACAAAUAUAUAUAUACACAAUCUAUGAUUGUUGUAGCUGCUCUCUCUAUUUUUUUUUUAAAUAGGUGAUAAACCUGAUAUGUUUACUAUUAUUAUAUAUGGUUCUAUAUCUAAGUAAAUAUUCUUAAUAUCUUUCUGAAUGUCGAGAUUCAUCAUAUUAGUUAGCUAGAUGGCUAUGUUUAGAAUAGAAUAUCCUCUCUUUAUGUUGCACGGAUUUGAAUUUGGACUUA